GAUGAACGCUGGCGGCGUGCUUAAUACAUGCAAGUCGAACGGAUGUUGUAGCAAUACGAUGUUAGUGGCGAAAGGGUGAGUAACGCGUUGGUGACCUGCCCCGAAGUGAGGGAUAACAGCUCGAAAGGGCUGCUAAUACCGCAUGAGAUCCACCUAGUUAGAGAGGGUGGAUGAAAGGAGAAAUCCGCUUUGGGAGGGGCCUGCGUCCAUCAGCUAGUUGGUGAGGUAAAAGCUCACCAAGGCGACGACGGGUAGGGGGCCUGAGAGGGUGACCCCCCACACUGGCACUGAAACACGGGCCAGACACCUACGGGUGGCAGCAGUAGGGAAUAUUGCACAAUGGGCGAAAGCCUGAUGCAGCAACGCCGCGUGCGCGAUGAAGGCCUUCGGGUUGUAAAGCGCUUUUCGGGGAGACGAGGAAGGACGGUAUCUCCGGAAUAAGGAUCGGCUAACUACGUGCCAGCAGCCGCGGUAAAACGUAGGAUCCGAGCGUUAUCCGAAUUCACUGGGCGUAAAGCGCCUACAGGCGGCACGGUAAGUUGGAUGUAAAAUCUCCCGGCUCAACUGGGAGAGGACGUUCAAUACUGUCGAGCUCGAGGGCGAUAGAGGGAGGUGGAAUACCCGGUGUAGUGGUGAAAUGCGUAGAUAUCGGGAGGAACACCAGUGGCGAAAGCGGCCUCCUGGAUCGUACCUGACGCUCAGACGCGAAAGCUAGGGGAGCAAACGGGAUUAGAAACCCCGGUAGUCCUAGCUGUAAACGAUGUAGACUUGGUGUUGGUGGUGUAAAAACCAUCGGUGCCGAAGCAAACGCGAUAAGUCUACCGCCUGGGGACUACGGCCGCUAGGUUAAAACUCAAAGGAAUUGACGGGGGCCCGCACAAGCAGCGGAGCGUGUGGUUUAAUUCGAUGUUACGCGAAAAACCUUACCCGGGUUUGACAUGUAGGUGGUAGGGAAACGAAAGUGGACCGACCCUUCGGGGAGCCUACACAGGUGUUGCAUGGCUGUCGUCAGCUCGUGUCGUGAGAUGUCCGGUUAAGUCCGGUAACGAGCGCAACCCGCGCCGUAUGUUACAAGUGUCAUACGGGACUGCUGGUAUAAAGCCGGAGGAAGGUGCGGACGACGUCAAGUCAGCAUGGCCUUUAUAUCCGGGGCUACACACACGCUACAAUGGCCAGUACAAUGGGUAGCAAAGCCGCAAGGUGGAGCCAAUCCCCAAAGCUGGUCUCAGUUCAGAUUGCAGGCUGCAACUCGCCUGCAUGAAGUCGGAGUUGCUAGUUACCGCGCGUCAGCAUUAGUGCGGUGAAUACGUUCCCGGGCCUUGUACACACCGCCCGUCACGUCAUGGGAGCUGGCAACACCUGAAGCCGGUAUCCUAACCGCAAGGAGGGAGCCGUCGAAGGUGGGGCUGGUGACUGGGACGAAGUCGUAGCAAGGUA
rnacentral:rRNA from 1 species